rnacentral:lncRNA from 1 species
CGAGUGCGGCGGCGGCCGAUGUGGCGGAGAGGAGGAGGAGGCGGGGGAGGGGAAGGAGAAGGAGGAGGACUGGUGGAGGAGGAGUUGCUGUUGUCGCCGUCGCUGCCGACAUUGUGCGAUUUGGCCUUGGUGGCGGUGUUGAUCGCCAUGCAAGAGGAUGAGUAAUGGGAAGGAAAGUAUCUUUGGGAGGAGGAGGAAGCUUUUGGGACGGAGGAGGAGGAGGAAGAGGAGCUUUACUUUAAUUUUUUAAACAGCACAGUGUGGCGUUUUGUGCGGUG